rnacentral:rRNA from 1 species
CCUACGGGAGGCUGCAGUGGGGGAUAUUGCACAAUGGGGGGAACCCUGAUGCAGCGACGCCGCGUGGGUGAAGAAGCGCCUCGGCGCGUAAAGCUCUGUCAGCAGGGAAGAAAAUGACGGUACCUGAAGAAGAAGCCCCGGCUAACUACGUGCCAGCAGCCGCGGGAAUACGUAGGGGGCAAGCGUUAUCCGGAUUUACUGGGUGUAAAGGGGGGGCAGACGGCGAUGCAAGCCAGGAGUGAAAGCCCGGGGCCCAACCCCGGGACUGCUCUUGGAACUGCGUGGCUGGAGUGCAGGAGGGGCAGGCGGAAUUCCUGGUGUAGCGGUGAAAUGCGUAGAUAUCAGGAGGAACACCGGUGGCGAAGGCGGCCUGCUGGACUGCAACUGACGUUGAGGCCCGAAAGCGUGGGGAGCAAACAGGAUUAGAUACCCGGGUAGUC